UCACACCUAGCUUGUGACAUCACUAGCCCGUGACAUCACAAUGCUUCUUCCUGUAACAUUCUAUCUACAGCUGCUGACGUUUCCAGUUUCCAUGCAGGAAGACAGGUAGUAAGAGAUCAUCUGGCAAAGAGAUUUGCAGAGUGUCGGGUGACCGGCAAAGAGAUCUGCAAAGUGUCAGUUGAAGACGAUGGGAGGGGUCGCAGAGGUAGCAACGACUGGAGUAUAACAUGCAGGAGAUCAUCUGGCAAAGAGAUUUGCAGAGUGUCGGGUGACCGGCAAAGAGAUCUGCAAAGUGUCAGUUGAAGACGAUGGGAGGGGUCGCAGAGGUAGCAACGACUGGAGUAUAACAUGCAGGAGAUCAUCAUUUGGCAAAGUUCUGGCAAAGAGAUUUGCAGAGUGUCGGGUGACCGGCAAAGAGAUCUGUAAAGUGUCAGUUGAAGACGACGGGAGUGGUCGCAGAGGAAUUAGUGACUGGAGAAUAGCAUGCAGGAGUGGUUGAUUCCUGGGAGGAGAGCUGCGGACACAUGCUCCAAAUGUUGGGACAUAUGCAUUACCUAUUAGGAGAUGCGGUAAAGAUGCCGGCUGUCGGGUUUACGGCAGUCAGAAUACUGACACUGGGAUCCCGACACUCUUCAGAAUCCCGACGUUGGAACUCCGAAUGUGCAAGGAUACCGACGCCCGUAUUCCCACGAUCAUAGGUUUAGGGCUGGGC